UACGGAGGGGGCAAGCGUUGCUCGGAUUCACUGGGCGUAAAGGGUGCGUAGGCGGCGCGGUAAGUCGGGUGUGAAAUUUCGAGGCUUAACUUCGAAACUGCAUUCGAUACUGCCGUGCUAGAGGACUGGAGAGGAGACUGGAAUUUACGGUGUAGCGGUGAAAUGCGUAGAUAUCGUCAGGAAGACCAGUGGCGAAGGCGGGUCUCUGGCCAGUUACUGACGCUGAGGCACGAAAGUGUGGGGAGCAAACAGG
rnacentral:rRNA from 1 species